rnacentral:tRNA from 1 species
GCCUGGGUAGCUUAGCGGUAAAGCGCGUCCUUGGUAAGGACGAGACCCCGGAUUCGAAUUCCGGCCUAGGCUCCA